GAUGAACGCUGGCGGCGUGCUUAACACAUGCAAGUCGAACGGGUGGCUUCGGCCACCAGUGGCAAACGGGUGCGUAACACGUAGGUGAUCUGCCCCAAAGCGCGGGACAACAGCUGGAAACGGCUGCUAAUACCGCAUGUGGUCGGUGGACUAAAGGGUGAAAACCCGCUUUGGGAGGAGCCUGCGGCCUAUCAGGUAGUUGGUGAGGUAACGGCUCACCAAGCCGACGACGGGUAGGGGGCGUGAGAGCGUGGCCCCCCACACGGGGACUGAGACA
rnacentral:rRNA from 1 species